GCUUAUGACCAUAUCACAUUGAAUGCACCGGUUCUCAUUUGAUCACUAAAGUUAAGCCACGUUGAGCCUAGUGAGUACUUGGGAAACCUAGGUGCUGUAAGCA
rnacentral:rRNA from 1 species